CUGCACGGCUCCGGUGGGCGGGGGGGACCCACGAGCAGGCAGGGGAUCCCGGCUGUGUGCAGCCGUAGGGAUGGAGGGAAAUACGCAGCGCCCGCACUUCGGGAAGGGGAGAUUUCGUUCCGUCGGUGGGGGAUGGAGAGAGCACCGGGUCCGGGCUGCCCUGAGAUCGGUCACUGAGAAGAGGAGGAUGUGGAGAUGGGGAGUGGAGGGGGACGUAGUGCCGAGAGUGGGGGGAGAGUGCAAGCGGGGAAGGAGAAAGGUGGGGGAAAAAAGGACGACGUGCAGAAACAAGGCAGAAAAUAAAGAGCGGGGGACAGAGAGAGAAAAAAAAAGGAAGAAAAAUACAGAAAAGAGUGAAAGACAGACAGAGAAAAAAAAUGAAGAAAAGGGAGACAGCGAGAAAAAGAAAGAAAGAAAAGAGGAAAAUAAACGAGAAAGGAGGGAAAGAAAGAUGGAAAGAAAUAUAUAGAGAAAAGAAAAAAUGAGAAAAUGAAGGAAAGAAAGAAUGAAUGAAUGGUGAAAGACAGAAAAUGAAAGAAAGAAGAAAGGAAGGAAAGGGCAAAACAGAAGAAGGCAAAACAAAGAGAAAAAGAAAAAAAAAGAAAAAGAAAAAAAGAAAAAAAAGAGAAAAGAGAAAAACGAAAGAAGGAAAGGAAAGGAAAUGGGAAAAGGAGGAGAGAAAGAAAAAGGAGAAGAGAAAGAAAAAGGAUAAAAAACGAAAGGAGAAAAAAAGAAAAAGAAAAAGAGAAAGAAAAGAAAAAAGAAAAAGGAAAAAAAGAAGAAAAAGAGAAAGGGAAAGAAAAAGAAAAAGAAAAGGGGAAAAAGAAGAAAAAGAAAAAUAGAAAGAAAAAGAAAAAUAAGAAGGAAAGGAAAAGAAAAAGGACAAAAAUGAGAAGAAAAAGAAAGGAAAAAGGGAACGAAAUAAGGAAAUAGAAAUCAGAGUGUGAAAGAAAUAGUGAACAUUAGAAAGCAUAAGAGUGCAUAAACAAACGAAAUAAAGGAGAGAAUGCUAACAAGUAAAACAGAAAUGAAGAGAAUGGGAAAGCGAGAAAUAGUGAAAGAAAGACAAAGAAAAACGGGGAAGUAGAAAGCGAAAAAAAAGAGGGAAAAAUAAAUAAGAAAAAUAGAGAGAAUGAGAAAAAGUGAGAGUGAAGGGGAGGAAAUAAAGAAAUAAAGAAAAAAGAAGUAGAAAUGAAAAAAAGAAUAAAGAAAGAGGAAGGGGGAAGGGAGAGAAGGAGAAAAGAAAGGUGGAAGGAGAAAGGAGAAGAGAGGGAAAAGAGAAAGAAGGAAAGAAGGAAAGAAGGAAAGAAAAAGAAAAAAGAGAGGAAGAAAGAAAGAGAAAAGGCAAAUGAACGCCCCGCAAAGCCAAUCUCAGGGCGCAGUCAGGGCGGUCACCCAGGCACGCAGCGCUGUCGGGUCAGAGCGGCGCGGCCCCAUCCCGUCCCAUCGGGAGGUGCCGCUCACCGCAUCCCUCCGCACCGCCAACCGGGG
ensembl:lncRNA